UACGUAGGGUGCAAGCGUUAUCGGAAUUACUGGGCGUAAAGCGUGCGCAGGCGGUUGUGCAAGACAGAUGUGAAAUCCCCGGGCUCAACCUGGGAACUGCAUUUGUGACUGCACGGCUGGAGUGCGGCAGAGGGGGAUGGAAUUCCGCGUGUAGCAGUGAAAUGCGUAGAUAUGCGGAGGAACACCGAUGGCGAAGGCAAUCCCUGGGCCUGCACUGACGCUCAUGCACGAAAGCGUGGGGAGCAAACAGG
rnacentral:rRNA from 1 species